rnacentral:rRNA from 1 species
UAGGGAAUCUUCCGCAAUGGACGAAAGUCUGACGGAGCAACGCCGCGUGAGUGAAGAAGGAUUUCGGUUCGUAAAACUCUGUUGUUAGGGAAGAAAAAAUGUAUAGUAACUAUAUACAAAAGAGACGGUACCUAACCAGAAAGCCACGGCUAACUACGUGCCAGCAGCCGCGGUAAUACGUAGGUGGCAAGCGUUGUCCGGAAUUAUUGGGCGUAAAGCGCGCGCAGGUGGUUUAGAAAGUCUGAUGUGAAAGCCCACGGCUCAACCGUGGAGGGUCAUUGUAAACUAAUAAACUUGAGUGCAGGAGAGAAAAGUGGAAUUCCUAGUGUAGCGGUGAAAUGCGUAGAGAUUAGGAGGAACACCGGUGGCGAAAGCGGCUUUUUGGCCUGCAACUGACACUGAGGCGCGAAAGCGUGGGGAGCAAACAGG